ACAUGUAUAUGCUAAGUCAUGUCAGGUUAAAGCAGUGCUUAUAUUUGAUGGUUGGUAUUGACAUGAAUGCAAUUUCUACUUACUGUAAGUGUUUAUUCACUCCAUUUAAUUCACAGUAGUAUACAAUGCUAAUUCAGUCCUUUAUUUCCUGUUUGACAUUUCCAGAAACUGCUCUGUACCAAGAAUACAUCACUGCAGUCACAUAGUUCUACAGUAAACAGUUAAACUCAACUGAUGUCUCGCGUGCUUUCUGACCAGAGCCCUGCAGUGGACAUUUAGGCUAUAAAUCAGCGUCAAAACUCUCAAUCCUCAACAACACAUUUAGAGAUUUUUUUUUCUCCAGUGCACAGAGAAAGAAUAAACUCACAGAUCACAUACAUUUAACCAAUGCACUCAUCGUUUGUGCUCCAUCACUUGAAAUUUGAUUUAGCAUAUUGUGUAUAUUUUUUAAAAAUACUAAAGAUGAAGACAAAGGAAAACAAGUUACAAGUUCAGUCAUUUUAGGGUCCAAACUUCCUCUUUCAGCAUUGCCUACCUCAUUUAAUGACCAUUUUAUACAAGUUUGGACACACCCUUUCAUUUAAUGCUUUUUAUUUAUUUGUGUUAUUUGCUUCAUUGUAGAUUAGUACUGAAGAUUAACACUACUUUUGUGCUGCAGGAGGAGGUGCUGCAGAGAGCCAACAUCACCACAUUGGGUCCGGCUGCAGGUGUUGUCACCAUGGAUAUGAGACGAGCCCCUCGUGUGGUUGAACACUUCAAGGCUGGCACUUGUUUCAUCAGCUACAACAUCACUCCUGUGGAGGUGCCUUAUGGAGGCUUCAAAAUAUUUGGCAUCAGGCGGAACAAUGGCCAGCCUUCAUGAGGCGGUGCACGACGAUGGAGAACUGGAAUCCAGUAGAAGAGGCCAAGCUUAAAAAGGCACACAUAAAUAAAUGCUGUCAGAGGCCAGUAAAGUGACUGGUUACUCAGACAUAAUGUUUACAACUGCCCCUUGUUCACCAGUAUGCUCCUUGUUUACUAGUCCAGUUUUUUUUUUUUUUUUUUUUUUACCAUUGUGUGACAUGUUUUUAAACCAGUGGUUCUGAACUGGUAAGUCAAGACCCAAAUGUGUGUUGCAGGGGCACUUUCAAUGGGUUGUAAAUUCAAUAAUCUUGUAAAUUUUGUACCUUUUUUCAAAGUUGAAACUUGUUUUUAUAACUGUCUUUUCAAAAAUUGUGACUUUUUUCUCCAAAAAUUGUGACUUUUGUGGCUUUUUUCCUCCAAAAAUUGUGACUUUUGUGAUUGCUAUCAUUAUUACAGUUCACUAUUCAUUGUGUUGUAUUAAAUAAAUGGGGCUACA